UUAACUCAAAUUUGUAUGGAGUUCGUACGUUUGCCGCUAGGGGCGCUGUUCCAACUGGAUACAAAUUUAAGUAA
rnacentral:pre_miRNA from 1 species